rnacentral:lncRNA from 10 species
AUAAGGAACAGAAGUUGGUUUAAAGAGUGAUCACAGAGGAGCUUGUCUCAAAAUUUGACAUGUUAGACACAGAAAUGAAGGAUGACGAGCUAUCAGAUCCAAUUUCAGACACAGAAAAUGGCAUAUUUGAAAGCACUGAGUAGGGAAAGAGGACAAAAUUGAGUUAAAAUAAACAUAUAUUCUUCCUUUUUAUCCUAAAAAUUCUUAAUAUGUUUUGUAAACAACUAUUCCAGUUGGAAAAUUACUUUCUAAUUCCAGAAAGUCACAUGUUUAUUGAACUGCUUAGAAGAAUGUCAAACUGAGAUUAGUAACAGUCUAGAUGUCAUGUGACUGAAAGGUAGAAAUUCUAGACCAUUUUUUUCAAACUUAGGCAGAACAUGGCCAGCACAUUUUCUUUCAGCUUGACAAUGUCUUUUAUUUAAAGCUAUAGUUUCCACUCCAUGUCUUUCUCUCUUUAUUUUUUUCCUUAAUAAUUUAUUUCUCGAAGACCCAGAACAUUUGACCCACAGAAUUCCCUACAAUCUGGAUUUUGUUGAUUGUAUAUUGUGCUGUGUUCCAACAUGUUCUUCUGAACUCUGUAUUUAGUGUAAAUGGACUGGUGGAGUCUUGAUCAGACUUGAGUUCUAUCCCUAUGAUAAACUUUUGGAUAGAUUUGUUCUUUUAUCAUAGUACCUGCUUUCUCUUUUGUGUUGUUAACAGCCAUUGACAUUGAAUGUCUAGAUUUAAAUUUUAUAAUUUGGCUUUUAUUUUAACAGAGAUAACUUUAUAAGGUAGUGAUUUUAUUUACACACUAUUUGGUUACUCAGUUGUGCAGUUCAUAUAGAAAAGAAAAAUAAAUGCUUGACUUCUUCCAUUACAUAUUCAGUUUUCAAGAUAAUAAGUUGGUUCCUCAUCAUCUUUCAAAAUUACCAAUUAGCUGUUUUUUAAUGUUAUUAUAAACUCAUGAGUUUAAAUAUAUUUGAUGAGUUUCAAUCCACUAACAUUGUUAUCCUUACUGGAGCUAAAAAUUUCCUAUUUGAAGUCAGUGGUGAGCUCUUCAUGUUUGCCUCUGAGACUAUUAAUAUGACACUAGUAGUCUCAUUUGUGAUGUAUAAAGAUGUUCCAGUUUUAGUGUGCAUUUUUUCUUCAGACUUGAAAUCAGCCAUCUUUUCUGCAAAAGUCUCAACAUUUUUAAUAAUAGAUAGUAUUUUAGGACCAAAAUCUGGGUGCUAGAGAUACUCACUGACAUUGAGUUAUUUAUUGUUUAUAGAUAGAUGAUGCACACUGAGUUCAUCCACAAUUUCCAAUUUAAAUUCAGAAAUAUGGUGUUUUUACCAUAUUGUAAUUUCUUCUCUAUUACAUUCUUAUCUCCUUGAUUCCAAACUGAGAAUCCAGGUCCUCAAGGAUAUAAAGAAUUAAAAAAAAAGUACUCAUUUGUGAUUACUAAAAACAAUUAAAUAUUUUCAUGCAUGCUAUCUCCAGUGUCCCUUUUUAGAGUUUGUCUAUGUCCAUAUUGUCAGAUCACAUAGCUAUUACACAGGUUAGUAUCUUCCUUUAAUCCUCAAUAGCAAUUCUAUAAAAACUUAUAUAUUUAAUUAUCUUUACUAGUCUUAAUAUACAUGUCUCUCUAGUCAUUUUGGUUGUCUGACAUCAUUCACUAGUAGAUUUAAGAAUAACUUAGGCUUUUGUUGAAUUAUUGCAUGCUGACCACAUUUUAUUUAUGCUCUUCAUUCAGCUUUGCUAAAUAUAAACUCUUUGGUUCACAUUCUUUUCCUUUUCCUAAAAAAUUUACUUCAUUAUCUUCUGGGAUAAAGUGUUGCUGUCAAGAAGUCAGAUAAAAGUCUAAUUAUAUAUUGUGUGCUAUUUUUGGUCCAUUAUUUAAAUGAUUUGUUUUCUUUCACGUAACUUUACUAGAAUAUGUUUUAGUGUUGAUUUUCCUGAUUUGACAUAUAAUGUAUGUUUCUGAUAUGUAGUUCUCUCUCUCUCUCUCUCUGUCUCUCUCUCUCUUUCCUUAAUUUUAAGAAAGAUUUCUUUAUUGUAGCAUUUAGUAUUUCUUCUAUUCUCUUGCUUUGUUUUUAUUAUUCAGGGACUUCUAUUGUUUAUAAGUUGUAUCUUCCUUACCUAUUUUUAAUAUUCUUUCUCUUUUGAAUCCUUUUAGCUCUUUUUUUGUUAUAAAGUUUUAUGCUUUUCAGUAUUUAUUUCUUUUGAAUCAUUAUUUGCUGUGUUUGUUAGUUCUUAAUUUUAUUCAUAUUUUGUGUUUAAUUCUGAAAAAGUUUUUAUUUUUAAUUCUUUGUUGACUAUUUUCAAGUAUUUUAUUAGUUUUCUUAAAUUAUGGUUUAUAUUGUUUCACUCUGGUAUCAUCUUCUAAUGUCUUCUAGCUUGCUUUGAUACUGUAUAUUACAGCAUUGAUUUUGUGAGCAUGUCUAUGCAGUGUGCUUUCAUGAUUUCCAGGGAUGUUAUUUUGCUCUUUAUUCUUUUUAUGUUUUAUAGUAACAUUGCAUCAGAUUUUGGCUUUAUAAAUUUCUGUCAUUUAUUUUUAUAUAAAUUUAGCUUUUUAACUUUUAGAAGAAAUUAUAUUUUUCUAAAGUUAUGUAUUUCUAAUUUUUUUCAUUUUCUGUUGUUUUCGUGGUGUAAACUAAAAUAUAAUGUCUUGAUUUCCUGAGAUUCCCUGGCUUUGUUUUCCCCUUCCACUUGUAUUUUAAUCAUAUCUAUUAUUCAUCUAUUUUUAUUUUAUCCUUCUCAAUUCUUCUUCCAUUUACAGCACUGUUUCCAGUGUUUGGUUCUGUUUUAAUACAGCUCCCCAGAUAGUCCAUUUCUAGAAUUCAUAGGGAAUAGACAGUUUUAGCCCCUAAAAUCUCUGACAACAACCCCUUGUAUUAACUAAUUUUUUGAGUGAACAAAGACCUCCUCAGAUUCAGCUGUUGUCAAGUACCCUUCCGUGAUUUCCAGUGAUGAUAUAAGAGUUUUGUGACUGUUGGUGUUUUUGUUGUUGUUGUUUGUUUUGUUUACGUUUUUGCACUUGCUUACUGCAAGUUUUUUUUUUCUUUUUUUAACAGAUAUUUCCAAAGGUUUCUGGUUUUUCUAUCUAGUUGAUCCCCUUUGUUUUAUGUGGGGAAUUUGGAAAAUCCAAAGUCUAUGUUGCCACCAAUUCUGCCAAGUUCAGAGCUCACCAGAACUUGUUUUAAUUAUUAAAUUGGUAGUAUUGGCCCUAAGAUAUAAAAAUCAUUUUGCUAUCUUUGAUGUCUUUAUUAAUUGUCAGAGACCAAUUCUGGGCCCUCUAUUUCAGAAAAAUUGUUUCAUUCGGGAGCAACAGAUAUCCUUUCUCUGUUAAGCAAGAUGAUUUUGUACUAUUACACACCAAACAAUGACUUUGAUGUUUGCCAAAUGGCAAGUCCUGACUCUCUGUCAUACAACAAUCUUCUAAUUCCAAUUUAGAAAUAUUCUAUUAGUUAUUAUCAUAAUCUCAAAUCCUAACUGAAAAUCUUACUGUAGAUUACCAAUCUCUACUAUAAUAACACCAAUAAAUUACAUAAUAAGCCAGUUAUCAGAUUUAGGUGGACAUUUGUCAUCUGAAAACAUGCAAGUCCAAACGUCUCCAAAUCUACAGCCAUGCGAAGAGCCCAAAUAUUCUUUGGACUACAGCAAUGUAUGAUUUGGUGUUGCCAUUAGUUAUCGUGCUGUGCAAGAAUAUUAUGGGAUUUGGGGCCACAUAUAGAGUGAUGUGGAUAUCAAAUGAGUCCUUUUUGAUUAGCAGGCCAGGCCUUUGAAGGAACAGAAAUAGCUAGUGCCCAGAAAAUGUCCUGGCCCCUAGUCGACAUGUCCAGUUUUUUCCUAAACAUAAGUUUCAAGCUUAAUAUUACAUCAUAGUGAGGACAAAAAUAGAUCACACUUUCUAUAUUAGAAAUCUUCUGCUUAACAAUAAACCCUCCCAGAUCUAAGUUGUAAGGGGGGGGUUGCAAUUCCAAUGCCCACAGAAGCAAAAUGCACAGGGAACAUCAAUAAAUCAAGUGAAUCAAGUGAGCAAGGAUAAGAACAUUUUCUAUUUUCAGCCCAAACACACGUUGCAUGUUAAAGACAAAAAAGUUAUUUCCUUCUAUAUACAAGUAUGCACUCUCACAUUGUUUUAAAUAACAAAGUCCUCUCUAUCAUUACUUAGCUUUUUUUCAUAGAGACACAGUUAAUGUUUGUCUUUACUCCUAACUCUAUCAUGCAGAAAACAGCACAAGUAUGAUAGCAGCAACAACAACAAAUGCCACUUGACACUUGGCCUAAUUAUGUCAUAAAUGAGAGGGAGUUCUAUGGAUAUUUUAGAACUGGAAAGUGCAGGUUCAUCCAAAGGUAGUAUUUCCACUCAGCUCCAGCUGAUUUUUGUCAAACAUUAAUAUAGGACUAAUAAUGCUAGAUCUUCCACUUUUUAAAAAGAAGCAGGAAAUCCAGAUUUUUGUGCAAAAUGUUUCAGGAUUUAAACGUUGACAACUAAUUCAGUUAAUUUUUAAACAUUGUGUAGGCAAAUAUGGUAUGGGCCAAACAAAACACAUCUGCAGGCAAUGAAAUACAGUGUAUUACUUCUGCUUAGGAAGCCCAAAUAAUUUCUUUCUCCUAUAUUUUCAUUCUUUGGUUUCAAGAACAAGUUGAAGAAGUAUCUUUUUUUAAAUGCAGCCUUUCUUGAAUUCCCUCCAGAUGGUAUGUGUUUUACUCCUUUGUGUCCUCUACUAUGCCAUGUACAGACUUCUGUCACAGGAUCUGUAAAAUUCUAGCAUGUAUUUGUUUGCCUGACAAUUCCAAUGUUAAAUUUUGAAUUCCUCCAGAGAAGAAAUUGCAGUGGGUUGACCGGUGUCCCCCAAAAGUAUGCCAUGCCCUAAACCCCAGGUCUUUUGAAUGUGACUCUCUUUGGAAAAGGGGUCUUUGCAGAUGUAAUUAAGUUAGGGAUAUCAAAAUAACAUCAUCCUGGAUUAUCUGAGUUAUCUGAUUACCAGGUUAUCUGAAAAUUUUACUGUAGGUUACCAAUCUCUACUAUAAUAAAACCAAUAAAUUACAUAAUAAGCCAAUUAUCAGAUUUAGGUGGACAUUUGUCAUCUGAAAACAAGCAAGUCCAAACGUCCCCAAAUCUACAGCCAUGGGAAGAGCCCAAAUAUUGUCUGACCUACAGCAAUGUAUGAUUUGGUGUUGCCAGUAGUUAUCAUGCUGUGUAAGAAUAUUAUGGGAUUUGGGGCCACAUAUAGAGUGAUGUGGAUAUCAGAUGAGUUCUUUUUGAUUAGCAGGCCAGGCCUUUGAAGGAACAGAAAUAGCCAGUGCCCAGAAAAUGUCCUGGCCCCCAGUCAACAUGUCCAGUUUCUUCCUAAACACAAGUUUCAAGUUUAAUAUGACAUCAUAGUGAAGACUAAAAUAGAUCACACUUUCUAUAUUAGAAAUCUUCUGCUUAACAAUAAACCCUCCCAGAUCUAAGUUGUAAGGGCAGGGAUUGCAAGGGUCCUAAAUCCAAUGAUACAUGUCCUUAUAACAGACAAAGGAGAAAAGCACAGACAGAGGAUAAGAGCAUGUGAAGACAGAGGCAGAGAUUAGUGUCAUACAGCCAAAGGCCAAGGAAUUCUGGGAGCCACAUUCAGAAGCUCAAAGAGGCAAGGAGGAAUCUUUCCCCCAUAACCUUCAGAGUGGCCAUGGUACUACUGAUACCUUGAUUUCUGUUUCUGUCUUAAAGAACUGUGAUAGAAUAAAAUGUAUGUCAUAUUAAGCCACCACAUUUGUGGUGAUUUGUUAUAGC